CUAUGUUUGGUAGGGUGGGUUUGAAAGGGAAGGAUAAGAUUAGUUAUGAGGGAAAUGGAAGGAAAGGGAAGGGAAGGAUAAUUUUAAUUUAGUAUUGUGUUUGGUUGAUUAAGGAAGGAAAAGGAAGGGAAGGAUAAUAAUUAUGUUUGGGGAAAGAAAGGAAAGGAAAGUAUUUCGGUAAAUUUACUAUUAUACCCUUUUAUAAUUUAAAAUAAAAAUUAAUAACUUAAUUAUGUAAUAUUUGUAAAAAAAAAAAAAAAAAAAAAAAAAAAAAAAAAAAAAAAAGAAAAAAAUUAAUAUAAAUAUAAUAUUUUUAGGGUCAUCAUUUUAGGGUCCCCGCCUCCAUCUCUAUUCUCGUUCUCUCUCUGCAACACUCUCUCUCUUUUGCAACUGCAAACCACAAAACUACAACAAUCCAAGUUCCAAACCCAUAUGUUUAUCUAUCAUUUGCAAGAAUCAAAGGUUCAAAACCCAUAUCGGCAUAUUGUUUCAGAUUGUUCCAAAAAUCAAAACCCAUAUCUUUCAGUUUCCCUUGCCCGCUGUUCUAGUUUGGGUUCGCCGUUUCCAUCGCCGGUUGUUCCAGUUCGGGUUCGCUGUACGCAAGUUUCAGCCGCUGUCCUUCCCUCUCGCGACGACAUACCAGUGGAUCGAUGACUCCACCGGCAACCAAUUGAUUGGCGACAAUACCGGCAACCGGUUGAUCGGCGAUAAUACCGGUAUCCACCAGAGCAACGAGAGGCGGCAUCUAACUCUGUCUCCAAUAAAGGUCUCAAAUCAAUGGAGUUAUGCCAGAAUUUUCAGUUGCUUUCAUUGUUCUCCUAGGAUUGGAUGAUGCAAUUCUAACUCUCUGAUAAAGACUCAGGAAAGUCCUAGAUAAACCAUAUAUAUAUGCCUAAUUCAAGAACUAAAAGCAAAACCAUUAAAAAAUAACAAUAAUAGAAUCAAACUAUUUUCUGAUUCUAUCGCUGGAAUCGAAGAUUGAAGACCGGCAGAAUCUACUUCUUGAUUCCGGCGUCGUCGUUGCCGGAGAAGAAGAGAGCUCACAACAACCCCCAAAAUUCUUCACGGCCGAGAAUUUUGGACGACGACGACAAUUUGGGGAUGAAUGAAGGAAUGAUUGCUAGGUCAGAAGCAGAGAAGUAACAAUUUUUGCAGAGAGCUUUAAGAAAGAAACAUCUAGUUAAGGCCGUGGAGGCUUAGAUGGGAGGGGUUGGUAUGGAUCUGGAAAUGGGUUUUGCAGAGGAACAAAUUUUUUUUUUUUUUUUU